rnacentral:rRNA from 1 species
GUGCCAGCAGCCGCGGUAAUACGGAGGGGGCUAGCGUUGUUCGGAAUUACUGGGCGUAAAGCGCACGUAGGCGGUGACGCAUGUCAGAUGUGAAAGCCCCGGGCUUAACCUGGGAAUUGCAUUUGAAACUGCGUCGCUAGAGGCCGGAAGAGGGUAGUGGAAUUCCCAGUGUAGAGGUGAAAUUCGUAGAUAUUGGGAAGAACACCGGUGGCGAAGGCGGCUACCUGGUCCGGUUCUGACGCUGAGGUGCGAAAGCGUGGGGAGCAAACAGGAUUAGAUACCCGUGUAGUCC